CAGGAAGGUGGGGCAGCUUUGUGAAGAAAAAUCAAUUAUACCCCAAAGAGGAUUCAGCCUGAGCUUAAGCCACAUCUGCUCUCAUCCCAGCUUCACCCUGUACUCACCCGGGUUGCACUUGCUCCCUACCUGGGUUGCCCAGUAGGACAGCUGCAGAAGGGGCCACUACCAGCUGUGCGCUUACAGAGAAUAUGUGUUUUCCUGCACUGGUGUUCAAAGCUUUCCAAAUACAUCUGGUUUGAUACCAGCAGUCUUCUUGUAUAAGAAUUUUUGGGUAAUAAGAUCAAAACUAUUUUCUGAAUACAGUGUUUUUUAAAAAUCUGUGAAGGACUAUCAGUGGAAAAUCUGAUUUUUAACGAUGAUGAAAAAGUAGGAAAGUCAGCUGGUGAGAUUAUCUCAGAACAAGUGUCCUGCAUAUCUCCUACUUGUAACAGAAAACACUGCAGCUGUUAGAUGAACAAAUCCAAUCUCACUAGAAAAUAAAUUGUUUAUUCUGCAGUCUUUUGUUCCUAUUUAUAGGGUCUACCCUAAACAACAAAUGGUCUUUAAGAUUACUGGUUUUCCUUGACUUUCACAUUUCUUUGCCUGAUUAACCCUUUUUAUCAUCCUUGAUGUUCUUUGAAUCUCAUCCAUAGAUGACAAUAUUUUGACACUAGAAAUUAGUAAAGCAGCCAUAGGAAAAAGCGCAUUUGCAAUUAAAAGAGCUCCCAAAUUGUGUUGGUCAGCCUUCUGCAGAUACAUGGCACUGUGUGCCCUAACAUUCCUUGGUGGGUAGCACUGUGUCAGGGGCAGUUGUUGCCUCUUCCACCAUUGAAAUGAACAUUCUACCUCACCAGAUUGAAAAUUGGUUCUUGCAAGAGGUCAAAUACCCCCACUGAUUCUAAACUGAAGUUAAAUUAAAAUCCCAGAACAAAACUAUCUUUUAUUAUCUUAUUAGUUAAUUAAUUUUAGAGACAAGGUCUCAUUCUGUUGCCCAGGUUGGAGUGCAGUGGUUCAAUCAUAAUAGCUCGCUGCAGCCUCAAAUGGAAUCAGGGAUCUUCCCGCCUCAGCUUUCUGAGUAGCUGGGACUACAGGUGCGUGCCACUAUGCCUGGUUAUUCUUUAUUAUUAUUAUUGUAGAAACAGAUUCUCAUUUUGUUGUCUAGUCUGGUCUCAACCUCUUGGCCUCAAGCCACGCUCCUGCCUCGGCCUCCCAAAAAUACUAGGAUUACAGGCCUGAACCACCAUACCUGACCCGAGAUGCUUUAAAAAUGUCUGCUGUCUCUGAUUUUGGCCUGAGUCAUAUUUGUAAGGUCACUUAUUUAUUUUUUAUCUGUUAGGGGAGCUGGGAGUGGAGUUUAUUAGGAAUUGCAACUGUAUGGCAAUACUGUGACAUUUGUUCAAGUUAACUAAAGACCCAGGACCAAAUAAUCAGUCCUGGAAGUUUAAUGUCUAACUUGUCUGAUAUGCAACAUUCUGCAGGUCAACUGUGAGUGCAACUCCCUAGCUUGUUGCAAAAUGGGGGAAAUGAUAUGGACAUAGUUUGGACGUGUGUCCCCACACAAAUCUCAUAUCGAAAUGUAACUCCUAAUGUUGGAGUAGGGCCUGGUGGGAGGUGACUGGAUCAUGGGGGCAGAUUUCUGAUGUAUGGGUUAGCACCAUCCCCUUGUGUGCUUUCCUCAUGAUAGUGAGUGAGUUCUCUGGAGAUCUGGUUGUUCUCACUCUCUGGCUCCUGCUUUCACCAUGUGAAGUGCCUGCUCCUGCUUUGGCUUCUGCUACGAGUAAAAGCUCCCUGAGGCCUCCCCAGAAGCAGAUGCUCCCAUGUUUCCUGUACAGCCUGCCGAUCUGUGAGUCAAUUAAACCUCUUUUCUUUACAAAUCACCCAGUCUCAGGUGUUUCUGAGACUGGGUGAUUUAUAAAGCAAUGCAAGAAUGGACUAAUACAGAUAUCCAUCUGGUGAUCAGAUGACUCAAUGCCUACAGAAUACCUAAGCACAAUGCUUGGUAUAUAAUAAGUGUCCAAUAAAUGGUACCUGUUAUUAUUUUGCACACUUUGCAGAAAUAAAAAUGGGGCAAUUAAGUUUCAAAGUCCAAGUUUAUAGGCACAAAAUAUUCUAUUAUGUUCACUUCAUGCUGAAACAGCUGUUAAGCCCACACCUCCACUCCCAUUUCUCCUACAGUGGGAAUGAGGAGAGAGAAGGUAUUAAAGAAGAGUUAGGCCUCCAAUUCAACUCUCAAUCUUAACUUUAAGGUGGGAAAGAUAAGUUUUGAACCUAUAAGAAUGUGUUAAUUAAGAAGUAGAAGUGGGCCGGGCGCGGUGGCUCAUCCCCGUAAUCCCAGCACUUUGGGAGGCUGAGGCGGGCGGAUCACCCGAAGUCUGGAGUUUGAGACCAGCCUGACCAACAUGGAGAAACCCUGUCUCUACUAAAAAAAUACAAAAUUAGCUGGAUGUAGUGGUGCAUGCCUGUAAUCCCAGCUACUCAGGAGGCUGAGGCAGGAGAAUUGAUUGAGCCCAGGAGGCAGAGGUUGCGAUGAGCCAAGAUCACGCCAUUGCACUCCAGCCUGGGCAACAAAAGUGAAACUCCAUCCCAAAAAAAAAAAAAACAGUGGAAGUGUUCCAAAAUGGAGAAUAGCAUUUGUAUUUACUAAUGGUGGCAAUAUAAAUUGGUACCACUUUUUGUGAGGUAGCAAAUUUAGGGGUUAAGAAUGUGGGCUCUGGGGCCAAAUUUGCUGAGUUCUAAUCUUGGCUCUUACAGCCUGUUAGCUUUGUGACAUUGGGCAAGUUACUUAACUUCUCUGUGCUUCAGUUUCUUCAUAUUUAAAAUGGAAAUAGACAAUAAUACCUACUUCAUAAGGCUUUGUGAAAUAUAUAUGUUAAUACAUGUAAAGCAUUAAAAAUAAUUAACAAUAUAUCUUAAGUAUUCAGUCAUUAAUAAUUAUUAUUACUGGAAAUCAGUUUGGCAAUAAGUAGGAAGAACUUAGAUACCAUUGGUGUCACUUCUGGGACUCUAUACCCUAAAAAUUAUGCACAAAGUAGUUUCCUAAUAACACAGGAUCUACAAGCACAGGCUUUGGAAUGAGUCAAGUAAAGGUAAACAGCAUGUUUAAAAUGUUUCUCCAAAGCAAGUAUAACAUAAAUCCAUAAAUUUACAGUCCAAAUUAAAUAUGCAUUUGAGUAGACUUGAGGGCAGCUGUAACACUUCCAUAAGCCCUUAGAGAUACUUUGAGAAAUAGGAUACAGGGCUGACUGUUCCUUAGUUCUGAUCCUGUGUGAUAAUCCUUACUUUCUCAUUUAUAAGUGGACAUCCAAAGGUGAUACAGCUGGAAAAAGGAUCUUCAUCCAAGACAAAGAGAAACAAAGUCGAUAGGAAAGUGAUGAAAGGCAUCAAGCAAAGUGAAGAUGCAAAUGAGAAAACAAGAUCAGAAGACAGGAAUAUCUGAAACAAGUCACAAAUGCAUAGUAUGACCUCUCAGGUACCUUUUGGGAGGCCAGGCGCGGUGGCUUACUCCUGUAAUCCCAGCACUUUGGGAGGCUGAGGCGGGCGGAUCACCUGAGGUAGGGAGUUCAAGACCAGCCUGACCAACAUGGAGAAACCCCUUCUCUACUAAAAAUACAAAAUUAGCCAGGUGUGGUGGCACAUGCCUGUAAUGCCAGCUACUUGGGAGGCUGAGGCAGGAGAAUCGUUUAAACUCAGGAGGUGGAGGUGGCGGUGAGCCGAGAUCAUGCCAUUGCACUCCAGCUUGAGCAAAAAGAGCAAAAUUCCGUCUCAAAAAAAAAAAAAAAAAAGAAAGAGAAAGAAAGAAAAAGAAAAGAAAAGGUACCUUUUGGGAAGAAGCAUUAAAAAAAUUUUUUUUUUCCGCUGGCAGUAUUUAGGAAGAAGAAUUCUAUUUAUUACUUCAGUAGAGUAACAUGCUUUACUAAAAUAAGCUUCCAUUCUACAUGGUUUUUUUUUUUUUUUUUUAGACAGAGUCUCACUCUGUUGCCCAGGCUGGAGUGCAGUGGUGCGAUCUCGGCUCACUGCAACCUCUGCCUCCUGGGUUCGAGUGUUUCUCCUGCCUCAGCCUCCCGAGUAGCUGGGACUACAGGAGUACACCACCACACCCGGCUAAUUUUUGUAAUUUUAGUAGAGACGGGGAUUUCACCAUAUUGGUCAGGCUGGUCUCGAACUCCUGACCUCAGGUGAUCCACCUGCCUUGGCCUCCCAAAGUGCUGGGAUUACAGGCAUGAACCACUGCGCCUGGCCCAUGAUUGUUCUUAAAAUAAGAAACACCACAUAAUAUUCAGUGUUCCUUAUUUUGAAGGGCUCUUUAUUUGGUUAUAUUUUAGGCAUAUGAAGCUAUUUCAUAAUCCCAAAAGGGGUAUUUAAUGAGAUUUAGAAUUGAUAGUCUUCUGUUGAUAUAUAUUUAUAGUUAUUUAUACACAUAUUUGUAUGUUCUUAAAAUAAAAUGUUCAAAGUUUUUGAUUCAAAUGUAACAUGUCUAAAAUUGAAAUCAUUGUUUUUUUGUUUUUUUUUUUUCACAACUCAAACCCUCUUCUUUUCCCAUAAACACCAUAUUGGGAAAUGGCACCACCAUGGGCAUAGUUGCUCAAGCUAGAAGGAUGGGGGUAUUUUGGCUCAUCCCCUUCACUCUUCACAUCUAAUUAAUUCCCUCUUUUGAGUAACAUUUACUAAGUGCCAGGCCUUCUGCUAGUCUUUCGUGAAGCUUGGAGUUAGAGUGAGAGACCGAUAUUACUCAAAUGAUCUUGCCAGUGAAUGUACAAGUUACAGGUGGAGAUAAGUGCUCUGCAGAAAGGAGCAUGACUCUUGUGAGAGAAACAGAAGACCAUGUUCUGAACUGGGAAUCAAGGAAGACUUCCCUGAGGACGUGACCCUUGUUUGGACUCUAUUCUGUUUAUGCUAAGGAUUUUAAUAAGGAGCAGGUGAUGGACAUGAUCCAGCGUACAUUUUUAGAGGAAUAUCAUGAGUCCUAUCACUUCAUCUCCUAAAUAUUUCUGACAUCUGUUCUCUUUCCUCCAUCCUCACGACCUUCACUGGCAUGGGCCUCCAACAGCUCACUGUGGGGGAAGUUUCCCUCAAAGGGCACUGAUAACACAUCUUAUUAAAACUAUACCACAUCAUUAUA
rnacentral:lncRNA from 1 species